CUUUUUUUGCCGGUUUGAGGACGACAGGAUCAGCCAAAACACUAAGGGAUUUCAGAUGGCGGUUUUAGGAGCUUUGAUCAUAUUCUUGUACCUGACUGUUUGUGAAGCCUCACACAAUGUAGAAUGUGAGGAUAAGAACUUGAAACACAAAAUCUGUUCCGAUGCCUCCAGCUGCAAUUGGAAUCCCGGAAAAGAAUUGAAGGAACAGAUGACAAGUGAUGAAUACAUAUGCUAUACAGAUAAUGGAAUGACGUGUACGGAGGACAAUACAUUGAAAAAGAAACAUUUGUGCUUAACAUAUGAAGAAUGUAACUUCACAUGCCCUGUCCGGAAAGAGG